GACGAACGCUGGCGGCGUGGAUUAGGCAUGCAAGUCGGACGGUAGGGCUUUAUCGUAAGAUAGAGUUUGAGAGUGGCGAACGGGUGAGUAACACGUAGGAAUCUACCCUUAAGACGGGGACAACCCAGGGAAACUUGGGCUAAUACCGGAUGCGGUGAUGCGAUCGCAUGGUCGGAUCACGAAAAUUACGGUGCUGAAGGAUGGGCCCGCGUCCCAUUAGCUAGUUGGUGAGGUAACGGCUCACCAAGGCGACGAUGGGUAGCCGGCCUGAGAGGGUGGACGGCCACACUGGGACUGAGACACGGCCCAGACUCCUACGGGAGGCAGCAGUCGGGAAUCUUCCACAAUGGGCGAAAGCCUGAUGGAGCGACGCCGCGUGAGGGAUGAAGGUCUUCGGGAUCGUAAACCUCUGUCCUCAGGGACGAUAAUGACGUACCUGAGGAGGAAGCCACGGCUAACUACGUG
rnacentral:rRNA from 1 species